rnacentral:rRNA from 1 species
UACGGAGGGUGCAAACGUUGCUCGGAAUCAUUGGGCGUAAAGCGCACGUAGGCGGCCUGACAAGUCGGGUGUGAAAGCCCUGGGCUCAACCCAGGAAGUGCACUCGAAACUGCCAGGCUUGAAUAUGGAAGAGGGUCGCGGAAUUCCCGGUGUAGAGGUGAAAUUCGUAGGUAUCGGGAGGAACACCAGUGGCGAAGGCGACUUCCUGGCCUGUUCUUGACGCUGAGGCGCGAAAGCUAGGGGAGCAAACGGG